UACUAUGUUUAUACUCUCUACCGCAGCUACUGUAUGAUGUCAUAGCAAUGACGUCACACUCAAGCCAAUCAGCCUUGAGGAGGAUAGACUCGUCGGACUGUAGCGGUUGUAAACAACUUGUCGCCCCGUGUGUCUGCCCGUGGCGCUAGUUAUCUGUCGAAGUUACCACUGACAAUGCCCAAAACAAGAACAACAAAGGCCCAAAGGUGGCUGUUUGGUAGUGCGCAAAGCUGCUGGUGGUGGUGGACGUCUCUGCCCUGACGCGCGGCGUGCGUCUGCUCAGUGUGGAGGUGCCGCUGACAGCGGUGCCGGCCGGACCGGCUGCCUCUCCGGCGGCCGACAUUGAGCGCGGCACGUGUCCGCCGCCGUUCGGGCCGCUGCAGCUGCUGCAGUCGGCGGCGCAGCUGUCCGUCUCCGUGUCGCUGGCCGUGCCGCUGGACCUGCUGCCGCGGCCGGCGCCGGCGCGCUGCGCCUACGGCCGCCUGCUGGCCGUCGUCUCGCAGCGCGGCCUGCAGCGCAGCGGCGUGCUGCAGCUCAUCCAGCAGCUCAACGAGCCGCCCAGCCCGGCGGCGGCCGAGGGCGCCGCGCCGCGCCGGCCCGGCGACGUCAGCACACCUGGCAUCAGCGGCUUCUGCCUGGCCGACCGUCAGCUGCACCUGCUGUUCGCCGAGGGGCGCGCCGACGCCGAGCUGGAACAGACGGCGGCCGCGCCGCGCGCUCUGCCGCGCCGCGACGCUCGACUCUGCCACCACUCGGGCCUACUGUUACGCCGUCCGCGCCAUCAGAGAGUGCUUCCGCACGCAGUGGCUGUCGGAAAAUGAACCUGCUUCCCAACGAGGCCGGCCUGCAACAACUGCUGGCCGGCUGUUGGCCGAAAAAAAACGCCUUCAACCGGAUGUCAGUUGUCAAAUCAACGCGUAUUAAUGCAUUCACUAGGAUGGGCUUACGUAAAGCUGUAGAAUUGCAAAUAUAUAAUGGCACUGUUUUUGA